rnacentral:hammerhead_ribozyme from 1 species
GUCCAGCUAAUGAGUCACAAAUAGGACGAAACACGCGUCCUGGAU